UACGUAGGGGGCAAGCGUUGUCCGGAUUUAUUGGGCGUAAAGAGCGUGUAGGCGGCUAGGUAGGUCCGUUGUGAAAACUCGAGGCUCAACCUCGAGACGCCGAUGGAAACCAUCUGGCUAGAGUCCGGAAGAGGAGAGUGGAAUUCCUGGUGUAGCGGUGAAAUGCGCAGAUAUCAGGAAGAACACCCGUGGCUAAGGCGGCUCUCUAGUACGGUACUGAUGCUGAGACGCGAAAGCGUGGGGAGCGAACAGG
rnacentral:rRNA from 1 species